UUGGAGAGUCAUUAUCACGUCCACAUCUGCUUGGUUCACUCAAGGCAAGAGAUUCCCCCAGCGCUAAUACCUAUUGGAAGACUUCAUGCUCAGAGUUGCAGGGACAGCAGAGGGAAAAAAGCGAUGGAUGUGGCAACACUAGGGGGCAGGCUAAUACAAAGCAUCAGAGUGGUGUGCAGUAGGGCAGUAGGGAUGAUUCAAGGCAAAGGAGUGAAAGGAGGAAUUCUACUCAUGUGGAGAGCAGUUUCUUGCUUUUUUAACCUUGUAAAUCAGCUUUCUCUCUUUUUGUUCACAUAUAACCAUUACUUUGUAACUGACCAUUCAAAUAGCAUUUCAUUCUCGUAGACAACUGUUUUUGUGUAAAUCCUGUUCACUUCCUUACAAACUGGCACAAGAACAGAAAAACAAUAGCUUUAUCCUGAUUCGGCCUCCUUUGUUUUCUGCUCAACAUUCUCCACUCAGCGUCUCCUCACGGUUACAUAAACAGCAUCUGAGCUGGCCAGCCACAUCCUCCGCGUUGAAUUCCAUUAAAUUUGCUCAUAAUGGCUGUGGUGUGGCUGUUUUGCUUCGGGGUGGAGGUCCUGCUCUCUCUCUCUCUCUCUUUCUCUUUUCUCUGAGUUGGUAAGACUGCACUGAAGGGUCUGCUUAGCAGGGAAGCCGGCUUUCCUUCAUGUGGCUGCAGAGGAAUGAGAGUCGCCACCACAGUAGAAGGACCUGCUUCAGCGAGCUGUAAUAUGAGUCGGGAAAACAACACCAGGCACCUCCAGCAAUGCUCAUUGUGUGUGUGUUCUCUAAGUUGGUACUCAUGUGUUGAAUAUUUCUGCAGGUUAUACCAGUAAGUAUUUGAAAAAGUUUGUGUGCAGCCUUCUCAGUGUGCAGCUACAAGUCCUAAGGGUGGUGUUUCCACUAGCUUUGCAUCGAAAGACUGAAACUUUUGCUCAUUCAUCUUUGUAAAAUAGUUCAAGCUCAGUCAGACUGAAUGGAGAGGACCUAUGGACAUCAAUGUUCAAGUCUUGCCACAGAUUCUCAGCUGAAUUUUAGGUCUGAACUUUAUUCUGGUGCAUUGUAAUACAUGAAUAUGCUGGUGACCUAAAACUCUGUCUAUGUUUAGGAUCAUUGUCGACUGGAAGGUGAACUUUCACCCCAGGCUUGAGUCUUCUGCAGUCUUUUCUUCCAGGAUUGCACUGUAUUUAAUACCAUCCAUCUUUCCUGUCACUGCUGAAGAAAAGCAUCCCCACAAAAUGACAAUGCCACCAGCAUGUUUCACCUUGGAGAUGGUGUGUUUAGGGGUGUUUGGGAUUUUAUUUAGGGAUUUUAGAGUGAACACAACUUUAUGUUGUUUUAUCACAUAAAAUCCCAAAUAAAGUGCACUGUAGGUUUUUGGUAAGUUAACAAAAUGAUAAAAGGGACUUUAUUUAUAUACGUACAUUAUUUGUGGAUUAAAGCAGCAGUAGGUAACUUUUGUAAAAAUCUAUUUUUUACAUAUUUGUUAAAAGUGUCACCAUGCCCUGACAGUACAAUAUGAGACAGAUUAUCUUUGAAAAAAAAAAAGAAACAAGCUCCUUUGGCUCCUCCCAAUGGUCCUACUGCCAUUUGCAGAAAUACAAGUCGGAAUAUAUUUGGGUGUGUUGGUCAGAAUUGGGUUGGGAUUUUAUGGCCAUCGGCCCGGGUCUGGUCGGGCUGGAUUUUAUGAGCUCGAUCUAUACUCAACCCCCAGCUACAGUACUACCAGUCCACACAUGCAACAUUUUUUUCUCACGCAUAAAAUGAUAAAAUCGGGGAUAUUUCCGGAUACAGCUUAACCCAAGGACAGCUAGUCUAAAACCAGCACUGAAAUCAGACAUGAGGGAUGUUUGUUCACGGUAGUUCAAACAGACCAGUAAUAUUUUAAAUGUGUUUUACACGAUUAAAUGAACAAUAUAUGUAUGAAAUGCAAGCAUUAUUUUAAGCAAUAUUUCCUCAAUAAUAAUCAUAAAGAAAGAAACAUAUAACGAGCCCUAACGGACUGUCACAUAUUUUAAAGUGUCUUAAAACUUUAAGACACUUAAACUUAAAACCAUUCUUUCAUUGUGUGAUUUGUCCUGCCAAACAUGCAGCCAAUUUGCCCUAAACACACCAACUACAUACGGAUCCACCUUGUUGAUGACAUGGUCUUAUCAGGAGGCUGUAACGACUCUAGAUACUUAUCCAUGGGCGAAAAAGUAUGCAAUGUUGCAAUGCUGUGAGGGGCUGUGAAGCGACAUGGAGCCACCCAAGAUGGCAGACUGGAAGUGAGACGGGGACUACAAUGACUUCAAUGAAAAGGGUCCAUUGUACUAAUUGUGUGAGCAGGUCAUAGUCAAUGUAAGGCACAUUGCUGAUGUUUCGUCCCUACCAGUGAAUGUGUCAUAGCUGUUUAUCUGCCAUCAACGUUGGCCCAGCUUACUAGCCUGAGUGUUCACGCCAGGCUCCGCUGUUGGGGAGGAGCUGUGGAGGAAAGGCUGUAAGCACAGCAGAGAUCAAGGGGGAGGGUCCUAUAAGGUGUGCUUGUUCAAACUUUCAGGCUAAGUCCAUGUCGGAGUCUGGGAGUUUUCAUGUAUUGUUUUGCCUGCUGCUAACACUUACUCACCACUAGAUGCCGCCAAGAUCCUCCGGUGUUGAGGGUAGCAGGUGUUCCUCAUUCUCAUCAGCCUGAAGGAGUAUAAGAAGGUGGAGCUGUCAGCACUCCAAUGCCUGAGUGUUAGCCUUUGUGGUGACUUUCAAGUCCAAGCCUCAAAGCUGCAACUUUCAGCUCUGCUUUGGAUCCUGCCUAAGUCAGACUUUCCAAACCUUCAAGAAACCUACCUGGCUCAAGUACUAGCUGACAGCUCAAAGCCUUCGUCCUUCAGUAAGCGAACCCUGCUCACCCUCCACCCAUUACCUUCACAUACUCCUUCUGGAAAUCUCACCAGAGUCAGCAGCUGCUUGAACCAUUCUCCCAGGCUCCACAUCAUUCUCCCUUGACCAAACUCAACUCCAUCUGCAUUUGGUGUUUCCAGUCCCAGUUCCAGUUCCGUUACUCACUUCUGUAAAAAUAAACUUUUAAACUUUU